AUCAGUGCACCCAGAACUGAGAGACCUGUUGGCAUUGCAGUGGACCUCUACAGAGACUGGACUGCCUUUUUCUGGACUGUUAUUGUCUCCGUGUCAUUGCGUGACUUCCUGGUCGAUUUCACUGAUCAGCGGGCAGUGUAUUAUCGAUCGUUCGAAUUUCUCUUGAACUUACAGGACCGGGGACGUGCAUUAAGCGUGAUCGAUCAGUUCCCAGAUGAACUUAGUGUGUUCCAACUGUGGCGGCAGCACCGAGUGGGCUGGUUUACAGAAUCCAUCAUGGUGGCGCCCUGUUUCUGAACGCCGACAGGACUAAGUUCCCAAAACUUAAGUCACCGCUCUCUUCUAUAGCUUACCACUGUCUGAGCAAGAUGGAACAAUUCUUAGGCAAUCGGCCCCGCGAUGGCGAAAUGCUUGACGAAAAGGAAAGGAUGAGAUAUUAAUCUACGGACAACGAUGUCCUGCGCGGUUCAUGUGGGGUUGGACGCUAAUAUCCUGGCAUUGACAAGUACCAAACUUUACGUGUUGGAUGUUGUUCGGAUGGACAUACGGACAUUAAUUCAUGACUGCUUGAAGUCUGUGACCCAAAGACAUCACCAAGUGCUGAGUGUCCUUUCUGGUGAUGCUCAGCCAGGGCUGUACAGCAGCCAUCUUCGGCUCCUGCUAGUUUUGGAAGCGGGCUGAGCUGUGGAGUAUGGGGCUGUACUGUACACUGUCCUGUGCAGCAGUCUCAGAGAGAGAGACGAAGACUGAGGAGGUAACAGAACCUUCUGGAAAUAAU